AGAAGCUGAAACUGAGGUUCAAUGAGGUAAAUUGAUUCAUCCAAGCUCACAGGCUUGUAAGCAGCAAAGGUAGAAUUUAAAUCCAAGUCACUUUGACUCCAAAGCCAAUGGAAUGUUUCUUCCACUACUCUUUAUCACCUGAGUAAAGCUAUAAGCUUAUGCUUUGAACAUGUAAUGCAUUCGGGUUUAAAAGAAAAAAGAGCAAACGUUAUUGAAACCCAAACCAGAAUGAUUUCACAAGAAUGUGGGCUGUAACUACCUAGGACUCCCUGGCUCCUGUCACAACAUGUUGAAGGCAAAAUUAGGUAAUGUCCUCCCUCCCUCAGUGAAAAGGAAAACCUGCCAAGACAUGGUGGCUGCUCUCCCUGGAGUGCCGGACACAGGACAUGCUCCACUGUUGGACCUGAGGCAAAUUUUUGUGGAAUAUCAAUAAUUUUGGAUGAUAACAGAGAAAAAUGACACCGAACCACGUGCACUUGCCAGAGAUGGACUCCAACUGGAGGCCAGAAAGCAGAAGAGCCUGGAAAUGCCAUCUAUGAAGGUCGGCCUCUGAGCAGCCCAGAGAAAAGCAGAAAUGAGACUGGGGCAGCCAAGAGUGAAUAACCAGCACGGUAGCUGACGCAGUGCGGUACACAAAGGGCGCGCUUCCAGUAAGACCUCAAGGCCCAUGUGCUGCUUUGAAUUCAACUGAACCGAAUGGAGAAACUGGUUGCAAGUAAAGGGUGUUAUGUGGUAAAGGCAACUGGACCCUGGACCGCUAGGGUUUCACUUCCAGCUUAUCUAGACAAGUGAAUCAUCAGAUUUCACAGCCCUCUUGGGGCUUGAAUCACACAUGUGCGGGAGGAGCUGCAUUGCUGGUGCAUGUGAAGUGUUUCAAGCUGUAAUUAUAUCCUUCACCUCCUCAGAGUGUCUAGACUAGAUUACGAAGGCUGGGGAAAAAAAAAAAUGACUGCAGCUUUCUGUGGUCCUCAAACAAGUGGGAAUUCCUGGCUGGGGCCCUUUUCCCAGAGUACACAGGAGCAAAUCCCCAGAAGCAGCAGCAGCAGCAGCAGCAGCAGCAGUAGCCUUGGCUUGAAGGAUGAAGAUUAAAAGGGAAAAGAGGUACCACUGCCUUUAAAAGUCUCCAUAGGAAAGAGACUCCAGUCAAGCACUAGCGGUAGAAAUAUGAAGCAACCCUGCUGUUCCUCUGCAGGAAAAGUUUUUAAAUAACUUCUUAUUAGUAAUAUUAAUAUUAAUGAUAAUACUGAAUCUUCAUAGCACAUUUAUUAUAUACUGAACACUAUGGUAGCAUUUUACGUACUUUGCUUCAUUUAAUUUCCACAAUCGCCCUGAGAAGUAACAUUAACCCUAUUUUUAAAAACAGAAAAAUGAUGCUUAGAAAGGCAAACAGAAUAUGGUCUUAGCUGCAGUUGAUUGAACAUUUAUUAUGUGCUUGCCAUAGGGCUGGGUAUCCCAGCAGUUCUCAAAGUGCAGUUCGUGGACCUCUCUGAGUUCCCAGCACCCUUACAGGAGAUCUACAAGGUCAAAACAAUAUUCAUAAAAACAAUAAAACAGCGUUUGCCUUUUCCACUGUAUUUACAUUUGCACUGCUGAUGGGAAAACUGCCAGCACCAUAGCACAAAUCAAGGCAGUGCACCAAACUGCACUAGUAGUCAUUGAAUUCUUCAAGGCCACCCACUUGUGGUAGAAAAAUGUGGCCAUUCAUAUAAGCAUGACUUUGAUGAAGCAGAAUCAUUUUUAAUUUUAUUAAAUUUUAACCCUUGAGCACAUGAACAUCUUUUUAAGAUUCUGCACGAGGAAACAGGAAGAACUCAUAAGGCAUGUCUAAGUACCAUGGUUGUCUCAAAGAAAAGGCACCUGCACAGUUGUUGAGUUGCAAUCUGAACUAAGCUCGGUAUUCAUAGAUCACCAUUUCUACUUGAAAGAACAAAAGAGAAAUUAUGGGUGUUCAGACUCUGGUAGUUGGCAGACAUGUUCUCAAAACUUAACUAAGUGAGCCUCUUACUUCAAAGAAAACAGCUUAGCCGGGCACAGUGGCUCACGCUUGUAAUCCCAGCACUUUUGGAGGCCUAGGUGGGUAGAUCAUGAGGUCAGGAGCUCAAGACCAGCCUGGCCAACAUGCUGAAACCCCGUCUCUACUAAAAAUACAAAAAUUAAUCUGGUGUGGUGGUGCAUGCCUGUAGUCCCAGCUACUCGGGAGGCAGAGGCAGGAGAAUCACUUGAACCUGGGAGGCGGAGGUUGCAGUGAGCCGAGAUUGUGCCAUUGCAGUCCAGCCUGGGUGACAGAGCAAAACUCUGUCGAAAGAAAGAAAGAAGAAAGAGAGGAAGGAAGGAAGGGAGGGAGGGAGGAAGGAAGGAAGGAAGGGAGGGAGGGAGGGAUGAAGGAAGGAAGGAAGGAAGGAAGGAAGGGAGAGAGGAAGGAAGGAAGGAAACAGCAGACCAUGUUUGUUGCCAAUGGUAACAUUUGAACUUCCAUGUGAAGAUUAGAAUUUUGGAAAAUAUAUAUGUUACUGUUAACUCAUCAGCUUCCCAAUAUAUUAAGACUUUUCUGUUCAGAUCUGUGCUGGCAUUAAAGAAUGUGAUCCUUUGAUAGUGUAUAAGGCAAUGUGUCAACAUUUGGAAGAUUUGUAUAAUUCAGUGAACCAAUAUUUUUUAAAUGUCCACAGUAUCAUACUGCAAAAUCAUGCACAGGUAAACGUUCAUUCAAAGCAUAAAAUGGCCAGUGGAUUUUAAGGUAACAUAGCAUGAAAAUUUCAUUUGCAUAGUUUCAGGUUCCAUAUUAUAACUACCUUUUAAGAAACUGGCAGUCAAGUUUUGAUGUAGUAUCAAAAAAAUGCUUUUUUUUUUUUUUUGAGACAGAGUCUCACUCUGUCACCCAGGUUGGAGUGCAGUGGUGCGAUCUCGGCUCACUGCAAGCUCUGCCUCCCAGGUUCACGCCUUUCUCCUGCCUCAGCCUCCCAAGUAACUGGGACUACAGGCACCCGCCACCAUGCCCAGCUAAUUUUUUCUGUUUUUUAGCAGAGGCAGGGUUUCACCGUGUUAGACAGGAUGGUCUGGAUCUCCUGACCUCAUGAUCCGCUUGCCUCGGCCUCCCAAAGUGCUGGGAUUACAGGCGUGAGCCACCACGCCCGGCCCAAAAAAAGACUAUUAAAUCACACCUCUUUUUUCCAAAUGCAUAUCGGCAUGAAGCUAAAUUUUUUCCUAUACUGCAACCAAAACAAUCUAUGGCAAAACAUUGAAUGCCAAAGAGAUUAUGAGAAUCUAUCUUCUCUUAAGUCACACAUUAAAGAGAUUUAUAAAAGUGUUGCUGUUCUCACUACAGUUUUGGGGUGAAAAAUAUAGUUAUUUAUCAUUAAAAAGUUAAUUAUGUAACAUGCAGUCAGCUCACUAGUAAAUAAAUGAUUUUAAAAUUUCUCAGUUAUAAUUUCUACUGCAAUAAAUGUUGAUAGAUAUAACCCACAUUUAAAAAUUUUUUUAAAUUAAUCUUUGAAGUCCACAAUAAUCUUUAAAUCUUUGGAAUCCUCAGUAAUUUUAAAAGGGUCCUGAAGCCAAAAUCUUUGAGAAGCACUGUUUCAUCAAUAUGUCAUCAAUGCAAUGUGAUCCCAGAGCUAAGAGCUUUUCAGGGGCUUAGAAAAUAUAUAAGCCUCAGGUAGAAAAAUAGUUGUUGGCUCCAAAACUACAAAAGAAACCAAUAAAAAAUUAAAAUGAAUAAAUGUUUAAUUAAAUGUCUACAAAAAUGCACCAACAUGCCAACUUCAUUAACUGUUAAAAUUUAAUAUUCAUAAAGAUUUCAUUACAUCUAAUACGAUUUAUAGAUUCAAUUUUCUCACUUCACACAUUCCCCUAAGUAUACACAGUGAUUGUUGGGAACUCAUAGCCAAUCAUAAAUUAAAUGAAAGUUACAUAGAGCCAAAUAAUUUCUAAAGCACAAAUAUAAAGGCCCUUACAAAAAGAAUUUAAAGCCAAAAAGUAUAUUUAAUGUGGGAUAUGGGUGCCAUUAGUAUGUUUGAUAUGUUGUAUGGUAAGGCCUCCAAAAGUCAGAAUAUGUAGGGCUCAUGAAGGCCCUGUUUUAAACACAGCAUCUUAUUUCCUUUAAAUUACACCCCUCCUGAGAAAGAUUCUGGUGAAAGCAGAUAUCUUCACUAGGCUAAGGAGAUAUCUUCACCAGGCAAAACAUUUCACCCUGACCUUUGGCAGGCCUGGGGAAGAGAAACACAUAAGGUAAAUACCAUAAACCCAUCAGAAGAGUAAUAAAAUCAUGAAGGAAAGAAAGGCCAGAUGCUGUUCUUUGGGACCCAACAAUGGCACAGCCAGCCAGGUUUCUGUCCCACAGGCAGAAGGGGUUACCACAGCCUCUCACACCCAGACUGUCAUCUUGAGCAAAGCAGGACUGAUAGCUUAGCAGAGCCCCAGACAUCUCACUAGGGAAACAGAAUGUUUGACAGAAAAGUCUGGGAGUACUUUCUAAAGACUAGCCAGCUUAAAGCAAAAAGUCCCCCAGUGAUCCUCCCCACCUCUCUUCUGGGUCCCUUGCCCUUGCUGGUACCUCAGGACUAGGCGCCCUUGCUGACCAGCAGUGCCCAGGAUCACCAAGACCUCUCUCAACUUCAUUCCCUUGCAAAGUGUUUUCUCACCUUCCCCUCAUUCUCUCAGCCCCACUGACCAGAGUGAAGCAGUGUUGUCGCCAUCCAACUUUGAGGUGUCAAGACUCUGAGAUAAUGUGGUUGCCUUUUAGAAGGGCUCCAAGAAUGGGAUAUCCCACAGUAUUGCAGUUUGCUUAUUUUCUUUCUCAUCUGAUUUUUCUGUAGUUUCUGCUAUAAAUGCAUUUGCUUUCUUUUAAACAUUUUUUAAAAGAUCAGUAAAGUAACCGGCUCAUUAUAGGUCUUUGAUAAAUAGUAAUCACUAUUAUUUGGCAAUUCAUCACACAGUGCCCUAACUUCUCCUGCAUGGAAAUCAGGAGAUCUUCCCUGUUGAGAGUGAAUGGAUUCACUUUCAUUUCCUGCAGCUGCCUAGUUUAGUAAAAAAUAAAAAUAAAAAUAGAAAAAUGGAAAAACAGAGUUAGAAAAUGUGCAAUGUAUUUGAAAUGUUUCAUUUAACAAGUCAAUGCUUUAAUUACGCAUAUACAUGCAAAACCAAAAUACAAUCGAAUUGUGCAAUUGACAAUAUAAUUUCAAGAUUUAUGGAAAGCAAGUAAUGGAUUGUGAACACAUUGUGUUGGCAAGGUGGCCUAGUAAGGAGACAAAACUGUAGAGCUCUCUGAUGUACACCUUCUUUCAAUCCUUUCCCUGAAGCUCUGUGACUCAAUGGCAUCAUUUGGAGAUUAAAAACAAGUCUAAAAUUGAGAUUUGUUGCCAAAUUGCUUCCCUUAAACACCUCCUCCUUU
rnacentral:lncRNA from 1 species